UCCAUUCUUAAUUAUAUCUCGUUAUUGAUCCAAAGAAGGUUUACAUCGAACACGAGGGAAAAAAAAUAAAAAGAAGAGAAGACGAAGCAUUUGCCUUUCCGACGACGCGGAGUCACGUGCCGAGAUAAGUGCUCCUCAAUUUGGAGACAAUCGAAUUCCUCCUCUGCAUACAAUUCUCGAGGUAACGGUGAGACACAACACGUGACAUCACGUAUCCUGGCUUGACCGAGGUAGCUUGUUAAACAGGUGACCAUUUAUUUUCCUCUCUCAUUUUCUUCCCAUUGUCGUUCUCUCGUACGAAGGUGGAAAAAAAAAGAAAGAAAGAAAGAACUCCUUUUUCCAGCUUCUCUUCGAAGCGAUAAAUCUCGCGACUUUUCUUUUUCCAACGUUCUAACGUUACGUGGAAGGGUUAUACCCUUCCUCGACCCUUCUAUAACUCAGGUCAGAAGAGCCAGUAACCAGCCUGGCCACCACCACCACCAUCACCACCGUUUUAAAAUCUUCAGGGUGAUGUUCGCGAAAGGUGUAACCCACCCUCGUGAGGGACGUCGAUUUGCAAGCAUAACGCGUGCGGCAAAGCCUCGUGCAGGGUUUUAAUUACUUUAGACAAAUUCGAAACCGGAGACUUUGGCGACGCUGGUGGCCCUCUCGUGUUACCUUGCCUCGAAGACUCGUGCUUGUUAGGCCCUUGCCACGCGGUGGUAUGCACCGCGUUGUCGGUGGUAUACGCCGCUGUCGAGACGUUGACUGGUUUAUUUGGUGGUAUCUUAAGUCUUUGCCCGCUGGCAAAAAUUGAAAAUCGAGGAUGCGCUUCUACACGCGUGGAUCGUGUUUCCCAGUGUCUAGAAUCGGUCUUCGAUCGACGCUUGUUCUCUUAUUUUUCGAGAUAAUUUUUAAAACAAAUUCGCGAAUAAUUUCUAUCUCUUUAUGGAUCGAGUCACGGUGAGUGAAGAUAGCGUUGUACGAAGUAGAACGAGACGCGAUAUCUGGAAAGAUUGCAACAAGCCAAUCAGGAUUUAGGAGUGUAACGUAAGAUUCGAUGGACAGGUGGCGUAAGAGUAGAGUGAGGUUACGUCGUACGAUUAUUUUUCACGCGUGAAAACAAGCUCUAAAAAUAUAUUCAGGUUCACGUUCAAGAGUGAGCGAUUUUGCUCGUGCGCACGUGCGUUUUUCUUCUUUCUUUUUUCUUUCCUUUUUGCGAGAAAUCUCGAAUGCCUUAAAAAUUGUCGACGUGACAUAAGUUUAAAGUUUGUGUCGCAUUCCCUUCGGGCAGAAAUCACUCGUUCACUUUCAAAUAUGCAAAUCGGUGUUCACGUUAUGCGUCACUGCACAGAGGAAUUUCGAGUGGAAAGUUUACCAAUGAAAUAUGUUACCUUUACCGUAAUGAUAUAAUUAGUCGUAUAAAUACCUCGACAGGUACACGUGUGAUUUUGUAUAAUCUUCAAGAUAAUAUCUUCAAUCGACUAACCUAACCUAAAAUUCCAAAGAAUCAUCCUUCUGGAUGAGAAGAUAAAAGAAAGAAAUCAUUUUCAAAGUGCUAUGGAAGAAAAUUCUCGGUAUUGCCCAAGCGCUUUAUACAUCCAACGUGUCUUAUGGUGCACUGCCACUGUCGAGGCAGGUUAAUGUUCUAUCGUUACUUAUUGGUUGUUGCUGCUGUUGUGCUGCGGUUUCGUUCCUUUGAUUCUGUCUAUGGUCCCCAGAUUCACCGUGUAAAUAGAGAGGAAUGCAAGAUAUUCGUCUUAAAUACCGGCUCGAGAUUUCUGGAUAGAAAUGUUGAUAGCGAAUUCUUUCAUCGUUCCUUGCUGGAUGCAACCAAUAGUAGAGAUUUUCUAAAUAAUAGAGGUCAAACAUUGGAUAUAUAAAAGUAACAGUUAAGGUUUAUUUAUUAUAAAGAUUUAUUAAGAUAAACCGCCUUUUGCUUUUGUCUAAUAUUCAAAUUUCAAUUGCUUAUACCUUAAUAAAUAAGCCUUAACGACCUUUUUUACGCACCUCUUACGUUUGUUUGACCUCUGGAAUCGAUCUUUCAAAGGAGUCCCUGCAUUAAGAGCCUGCAUAUGCCCGACGCACAAAUGGCAGAAUCUCAGCCGCUUGAACGUUAAUAACGGUUUUGCGAGAAACAUCGCACCAGUGGAAGAAGAUAAAGAAAAAUGAACCGUCAUUCUGUAAACGCGUUACAUAGCAACGAGAUUUCUUGAACCGUUUCCAAUAAUAAUAAACUGCAGGAAGAACUGGGUGUGCACCAAGUAAACGCUUUUAUAGUAUCCUGACGGUAAAUGUGGGCAGCCUUUGUCCGAAUAACUGUACUUUUAUUCCUUCUUCCCCUCCCCCUUUUCUUGUAUUUUACGAUAAAUAUUAUUCUUAUCCUUUUUCCACACUCGAAAUAUAAAAAUAUCAUAUGCUGCGUAUAUAUUAAUUAUAUAUACAAUCAAUCGGAUAUAGGGAUAUAUUCUAAAUAUUCGUCAAAAUUCACCAAAGAGAAAAUUCGCUAAACUCGUGAAACGAAGUUUAUAUGCAUUUACAAUUUUUUUAUCUGUACAAAUAAAUAGUGACAAAAAUCUCUCUCUCUCUCUUUCUUUUCCUUUUUUCAAUUUUAGAAACAAUUUCAUUCGAGGAUACUUUUCACAAUGAGACAAAGGGGACAAUACGCUAUCUCUUUUACCACUAAAAUGAUAAAUGGUUCGAUUUUUCUGUGACGAAUUUCCCCAUUACCUGCCACGUUGGACAAAAGCACGUCACGUGACACGAUAUAGUGCCUGGCUGAAGCUUGGUCACGUGACACAUCUUUGUCCAAUGCGCCACUAGUAAUGAAGAUAAGUGUGACAUGACUCCUAGGGAAAUUUCUUCUCGCAGAGAAAUUGAGCCAUUUUUAACGAAGAAACCGCGCCAUUCUUCCUUCUAUUCCACAAACCUAGAAAUCGAAUAUGAUGUAAAAAUAUUAAAAAAAAUUAAACAUUUUAUAAUUAAAAACCUGUACACAAAAAAAAUGAAUAAAAA